UAACUCUUGGAAGAAGCCAAUAUAUCCAUGAACAGAUAAUUGGAUAAAGAAAAUUUGGCAUAUUGCACUCCUAAUGUACUGACCUUAGCGAUUUCCCAAAAUGUGGGAAAGUCAAUUGUAUCAUUUGUGGUAGUAGGAGAUUGCAUUUGAGCCUUCCCCUG
rnacentral:snRNA from 14 species